GACGAACGCUGGCGGCGUGCUUAACACAUGCAAGUCGAGCGGUAAGGCCCUUCGGGUACACGAGCGGCGAACGGGUGAGUAACACGUGGGUGACCUGCCUCUAGCUCUGGGAUAAGCCUGGGAAACUGGGUCUAAUACCGGAUAUGACUCCACGGCGCAUGUUGUGGGGUGGAAAGCCUUGUGUGGCUAGAGAUGGGCCCGCGGCCUAUCAGCUUGUUGGUGGGGUGAUGGCCUACCAAAGGCGACGACGGGUAGCCGGCCUGAGAGGGCGACCGGCCACACUGGGACUGAGACACGGCCCAGACUCCGUACGGGAGGGCAGCAGUGGGGAAUCUUGCGCAAUGGGCGAAAGCCUGACGCAGCGACGCCGCGUGAGGGAUGACGGCCUCGGUUGUAA
rnacentral:rRNA from 1 species